GCAGUAUAUUUAUAUGGUAUUGUUAUAGAGUAGUAUACUUAUGUGGUAUUGUUAUAGGGCAGUAUAUUUAUAUGGUAUUGUUAUAGGGGCAGUAUAUUAAUAUGGUAUUGUUAUAGGGGCAGUAUAUUUAUAUGGUAUUGUUAUAGAGGCAGUAUAUUUAUAUGGUAUUGUUAUAGGGGCAGUAUAUUUAUAUGGUAUUGUUAUAGAGGCAGUAUAUUUAUAUGGUAUUGUUAUAGAGGCAGUAUAUUUAUAUGGCUUUGUUAUAGGGGCAGUAUAUUUAUAUGGUAUUGUUAUAGGGCAGU